UACGUAGGGUGCGAGCGUUAAUCGGAAUUACUGGGCGUAAAGCGUGCGCAGGCGGUGAUGUAAGACAGAUGUGAAAUCCCCGGGCUCAACCUGGGACCUGCAUUUGUGACUGCAUCGCUGGAGUGCGGCAGAGGGUGGUGGAAUUCCCGGUGUAGUGGUGAAAUGCGUAGAGAUCGGGAGGAACACCCGUGGCGAAGGCGGCCACCUGGGCAGACCCUGACGCUGAGGCGCGAAGGCGUGGGGAGCGAACGGG
rnacentral:rRNA from 1 species